AGAGUUUGAUCCUGGCUCAGAACGAACGCUGGCGGCAGGCCUAAUACAUGCAAGUCGAACGCACCGCAAGGUGAGUGGCAGACGGGUGAGUAACGCGUGGGAAUCUUCCUUGCAGUACGGAAUAACUCCGGGAAACCGGUGCUAAUACCGUAUACGUCCUUCGGGAGAAAGAUUUAUCGCUGCAAGAUGAGCCCGCGUCGGAUUAGCUAGUUGGUGAGGUAAAGGCUCACCAAGGCUUCGAUCCGUAGCUGGUCUGAGAGGAUGAUCAGCCACACUGGGACUGAGACACGGCCCAGACUCCUACGGGAGGCAGCAGUAGGGAAUAUUGGACAAUGGGCGCAAGCCUGAUCCAGCCAUGCCGCGUGAGUGAAGAAGGCCUUAGGGUUGUAAAGCUCUUUUGGCGGGGAAGAUAAUGACGGUACCCGCAGAAUAAGCUCCGGCUAACUUCGUGCCAGCAGCCGCGGUAAUUC
rnacentral:rRNA from 1 species